GAUGAACGCUAGCUACAGGCUUAACACAUGCAAGUCGAGGGGCAGCAUUUUAGUUUGCUUGCAAACUAAAGAUGGCGACCGGCGCACGGGUGAGUAACACGUAUCCAACCUGCCGAUAACUCGGGGAUAGCCUUUCGAAAGAAAGAUUAAUAUCCGAUAGCAUAUCGAUUCCGCAUGGGAUUGAUAUUAAAGAAUUUCGGUUAUCGAUGGGGAUGCGUUCCAUUAGUUUGUUGGCGGGGUAACGGCCCACCAAGACUACGAUGGAUAGGGGUUCUGAGAGGAAGGUCCCCCACAUUGGAACUGAGACACGGUCCAA
rnacentral:rRNA from 1 species